CCCGCCCCUAUAGACCCAUUUGGAGUGGACGUCACGGUUACGUCACUGAAGUUUGGUGGUUGCCGAAAACUGCAGGAACAAGUGUAGGGAAACGGGCAGGAUCCUCAGACUAAAGGAAAAAAAUGUCUUGUUGUGCCGUUGGAUGUCAGAAUAGGAAUGCAAAAAAAAGAUGGCCUUAAUUUUUUAUAGAAUACCGUUGUCGAGGACACACUUUGAAGCUAAAUGCAGACGUUUGGUUGCAAGCCUUUAAACAGACAUACUGGACUGAUGAAAUCAUCCGGAAUGCUCGUCUCUGCAGUGUUCAUAUCAAGCAAGGUUUUGAUCACUGUUUAUCACACACAGGCUAAUGAUGUAGAAAACGAAAUAACCCAAUCUGGCGAAGAAAUCCAGGAGUGAGGCCUGACGAUUUUCAAUGACCAAUGAAAUAAAAAGGAAUGGAAAUCACUACGACCCCGCUUUUUUCAAGAUACUGUAAAGAAAACGUUUCAGCUAGCAGUACGUUCGGUAGCGAGUUGUUUUACAGCUGACUGACUUGACAACUAACCCUAAAAAAACAUAGAUAUAUUCAUACAUACAUACCUAGCAAAUUAACCAGACUUACCAGACCAGAUUUAUUCCUGCUUGCUCCACGCAAGGCACGGGACCUGGGAGGUAUUUCAGAAAGCAGUUUUAGUGAAAACGUAGAGAUUUAACCCAUUUUCAUAGAGUGCGGCCAGGAGUGAACCUACACAAUACUGCUGUCGAGGAUGAAAAGUAUUUUGGCCGCAUGAAAGGUGCUUUGCCUGUUAUCGACCCAUCGCCUGCCUAUUGACUACGCCACAGCCUGUUCCUUCUGCACUACUGUGUUUUCUCCCAUAUAUAAGGGCUCCUGCGCUUGGAUCCAUCCCACCAUCCAUCUGUUUCAUGUGCAAUCAUUACGAGGACCUGGACAGAGCAGCAAAUAAAGACCUCAACAAGCAGAGGCAGCGCCACCAGAGCCAGGCUUUGGCUAGUUGGCUGAAAGGACUCUUGGCUGAAGAGAAGCUAGAGUUUGCCGGGGCAACUGAGGACAUGAUGUCUGGUAUGGAGACUGACCCCUGUGGAUUUUUGGUUUCCUCUCCGAGCUGGCGCUCUGCUGAGUUUGAGUACCUGAUCAAAUCAGCUGACGAACAAAGGGGAGCCAACCGCUCUUAUGGGGAGAAGAGGUGCCGCCAAAAAGAAAACCGUUGCACUUGUCCACGACCACCACUGCCCUACCCUGGACACCCGACUGCUCAGAACAUUUCAAGAGAAGAGAAGCUGUGGUUUACCGGGGAAAGGACAUGAUGUCUGAUCUAAUUAGCUGACCAGCGAAGGACUCUUGAAAUGUACUGACUUUGUGCACAAACUCAAGUCUCAAUUGCUGCUACCAGACUCUCCACUUUAGUUUCUAUAGUUUAAAAUUUUUUAUUAGGGUGUAGUUAUUUUGUAAUCCAUUACUUCAAAUGUUUUGUUAUUUGUUUUUAGCCUUUCUAUUGGUGCAUUUCUGUGAGGUUAGUAUUGUGGAAAGGUUUUAUUCACAUUGACUGUUUAUCUCCUAUUGUUACUUUGCCAUGCGGGAACCUGCAAGUAAGAAUUUUCACCGUUUUUAGUAAUGUGUCCUAACAUUUAUUUGAUUUGUAUUAUUAUAGGUAACAUUUUCUUGCUGCCCUCUUAAACAGUUUGAUAUACAUUGGUGGCCAAACGUUUGGAAUAAUUUUGCUGUUUCGAAAGGAAAUUGGUAAAUAUUUUCACCAAAGUGGCAUUCAACUGAUCACAAAGUAUAGACAGGACAUUACUAAUGUAAAAAAUAGCACCAUCACAAUUUGGAAAAUACAUUUGUGAUCAAAUCUAGACAGGCCCCAUUUCCAGCAGCCAUCACUCCAACACCUUAUCCUAAGUAAUUAUGCUUAAUUUUUGAUUUGGUUCUAGAAAACCACUUCCCAUUAUAUCAAACACAGAUGAAAGCUAUUUGGUUUGUUAAAUGAAGAACUUCUGAAUCCAGUAGACUUUAAUGAGAAUCGUCUUUCGUUCUAACUAAUUAAUCAUCAAACACUGGUGGUUCAAGUUCAGGACAACCUCAUCAAACACUGGUGGUUCAAGUUCAGGACAACCUCAUCAAACACUGGUGGUUCAAGUUCAGGACAACCUCAUCAAACACUGGUGGUUCAAGUUCAGGACAACCUCAUCAAACACUGGUGGUUCAAGUUCAGGACAACCUCAUCAAACACUGGUGGUUCAAGUUCAGGACAACCUCAUCAAACACUGGUGGUUCAAGUUCAGGACAACCUCAUCAAACUGGUGGUUCAAGUUCAGGACAACCUCAUCAAACACUGGUGGAUCAAGUUCAGGACAACCUCAUCAAACACUGGUGGUUCAAAUGCAGGACACUUUCCCACCAAAUAAAUAGAUCCAUUAGGGCCGUUAACUUUAAGGCACAUGAUGGUUUGCUGCUGAUACAUUCAUGAUUAUUUCAACACAAGUUGUAUAUAUUUAUCCAUCGAUGAUUAUACUGUUUACCAUACUGAUUAUCUGUGUAUGUGAUUUACAUAUUGAUAUAUUCUUGAAGUGUGAGAGUAUAAUGCAUUCAUAAAAAUCCCUCACAACAGCUGCAGUAAAGGCCUGGCAAAGCAACACAAAGGAGGAAAACCAGCAUUUGGUGCAGUCCAUGCAUUCCAGACCUCAAGCAGUCAUUGCCUGAGGACAUCUGACAACAUUAUUGACUGUUGUCCUUACUUGACAACUGACAACAAUAUUGACUGUUGUUCCCACUUGACAACUGACAACAAUAUUGACUGUUGUUCUCACUUGACAACUGACAACAAUAUUGACUGUUGUCCUCACUUGACAACUGACAACAAUAUUGACUGUUGUCCUCACUUGACAACUGACAACAGUAUUUUUUGUAGCCAGUCAUAUAAUUGACAGAAACGGUAUUUGCCAGUUGCUUCUUUUUUGCCUUUGAAGCUCUCUGAGAUUAUAUGACAAUUGCUAUAUAAGCUCCUUCCAUUGUUACUAUUAGACAUACCAGUUAGUUUACACAAAUAUGGGGAAUCUGAUUUGACCUCAGGUGCUUUAUGUGUACAAACCCAGAGCUACUUGCUGUAGAUUGGUGUAAAGUUAU